GAGCCUACGGGGGGCAGCAGUGAGGAAUAUUGGUCAAUGGGCGGGAGCCUGAACCAGCCAAGUCGCGUGAGGGACGACGGUCCUAUGGAUUGUAAACCUCUUUUGUCGGGGAACAAAGGCGCCCACGGGUGGGCGGAUGAGUGUACCCGAAGAAAAAGCAUCGGCUAACUCCGUGCCAGCAGCCGCGGUAAUACGGAGGAUGCGAGCGUUAUCCGGCUUUAUUGGGUUUAAAGGGUGCGUAGGCGGACUGUUAAGUCAGCGGUAAAAGCCCGGGGCUCAACCCCGGCG
rnacentral:rRNA from 1 species